rnacentral:rRNA from 1 species
AUGAAGGCCAGCUCCGGAGCAUUGCUCGCCGUCAUGGCGGUGGCGGCGUUGGCCACGACGGCGCUGGCGAUCGACUACACGGUCGACGACUCCCUCGGCUGGGACACGUACGUCGACUACGAGAAGUGGAUCGCCGACAAAGUCUUCAUGGUCGGCGACACCAUAACGUUCAAGUACGAGCCGUACCACAACGUGCUGGAGGUGACGGAGGCGGACUACGGCAGCUGCGCCACGGGCAGCCCCAUCUCCACCCACUCCGGCGGCAAGACCACCUUCGAGCUCGGCGAGACCGGCACCCGCUACUUCAUCUGCGGCAUCCCCCGCCACUGCACCAACGGCACAAUGCACCUCAAGAUCAGCACCGUGCCGUACGACGCCGCCACCGCCGCCAAGAUGGAAGAAGCAGCGGCCGCAGCCGCCCCUUCUCCGGCCUCGCUCCCCUCCCCUCCCGCUGACACCUACGCCGACGCCAAGGCCGCGCCGGCGGGCGCCCCGACCACCUCCACGCCCGCGGCCGCGUCUGCGUCCGCGCCGCGGUAUCAGCAGCCGGCGGCGGCCUUGGCCGGGCUUGCGAUCGCUGCUCUUGUGGCCAUUGCCGCGUAA